AAUAUACAUGUUGAAAUGGUUACGAUUUUAGUAUGUGAUGAUUUUUUUUCAUCUUAUGCACACACACCCUAUUUCUGUCUAUAGGAGCUCAUGGAACCCAUGUAGCAAGUAUCGCCGCUGGGCAUUUUCCAGAGGAGCCUGAACGGAAUGGAGUUGCUCCUGGUGCUCAAAUUCUGUCCAUUAAGAUUGGUGAUACAAGGCUAAGUACCAUGGAAACAGGCACAGACCUCAUCAGAGCUUUACGCUGCCUUGGUGUAGAAAUAGCUUCCAGAGAUCCAUCUGCUCAUUGUGAACGCCUCCCUGUGGUGACGCCAGCAACACAGCCAGAACCUGUGUCACAAUGUGCAAGCCCCCUAUGGUGCCUGGAACUGGGGGAACUUAAGUGAUGGAGAAGAAACACGGGAGAAAGCUGCAGCAUGGGAAGUGGGCUGCGGAAGACGUUUUCACCCGUCAAACUUUGUGUACGCCGCAAGCUGAGAAAUACAGGAGGGUAUAGUGUUCUCAUAAGACUGCACUCGGAAGAACAUGUAUGUAUUCACUGUAACUAAUGGCAUAGAUGUUUCCCAAUUGCUUUGGGUAUCUCAGACAGAAACUUUUGUGAAUCCUGAGUUAAGUCAAAAUUGUUUCCUAUAAACACACAUUCCUCACUGUCACUUUCUUCAGAAGCUGGACUUUCCGCCAGGUCAGAAGCUGGACGUUCCUCCAGGUCAGAAGCUGGACAUUCCUCCAGGUCACUUGAAGUCUGAGUAUUUAGGGGAACAUCAUUGGUCCAGUCAUCAGAAAUCCAAGAUGAAUGUGAACUGACUAAAUCAGUAGUGUUUUGUUGAGUUCUGGAAACAGAAUGCCUAUGUGAAUUGGUUUUUUGAAACCAUAUGUGACGUUAUCAUUCUAUACGCUUUGGAUGUUCUUCUGUACUUCCUUUCCUCUGUUUGAUUCUCUAUCAGGAAAUGAAGCAUCUUUCUGUGUAGAUUCCGAUGAGAAUCCUGAAAGUCCCUCAGGCUUUUUAACGUUCAGGUCAGAUCUCUGCUCAAUGAGUCCUCAGUAGACUCUUUUCUCUCUCCGUUUGUUUCAAAUAAUAAACAAGCAAGGAGCUGCCCAUUCAUCAGUAUUGACCAUGAGCGAGUUUUCAAUAGUGCCCAACCUUACUCUCUCAGUAGAACUUGGAUAUAAAGCACAUGCCAUGCUCUGUCAGAAAAAAAGAAAA